rfam:Candidatus Accumulibacter sp. BA-93 contig000008, whole genome shotgun sequence.
UCCUCGAUAGCUCAGUUGGUAGAGCGUCGGACUGUUAAUCCGUAGGUCCCUGGUUCGAGCCCAGGUCGGGGAG